CCUCCUGCCAGGAGCCAAUCCCAGGAAGAAUCUUUGGGAGGGUGCAGGGGACAGGCCCCAGGGCAGGGGCAGGCGAGGGAGAGACAGAGAGAGACAGAGACAGAGACAGAGAUGGGGGCAUAAACAGAGAGACAGGGAGAGAGAAAGUGGGAGACAGAGGGACCAGAGAACAGGGCCCGGCCGACCCUCUCCAGCUGCCCCGAGCCUAGCUCUGCCCCUAGGACUCUGCUCUGCCCGUACUGCACCCGGCUGGGCCUGGGCCUGGGGACCCCUGGGCCCUCGUGGGCUGCCUGUCCUUCGGAGAAGAUGAUGGUGGGGAGGAGGUGGGCGUGUGUGAAGCCAGGCCCCUCCACACGGGACAUCGGUGACAACCAGCGCACAGCGUCUGCGGGGCUGGUCCCUGCUUGCGCACCCUCCUGGGGGAUGGCUGCCUUCAAGGGUGGGUGGCUGGGGAUGGCUGGUCUGUCCAGGGAGGGGGCUUCUGAGGUUGGGACUCAGGUGACCUCUGCUGCAUCUUUGGUCAUCUCACCACAGGCCAGGGCUUCAUGUCUAUGCAUUUGUCCCUUUGUGCACCUGUGACUGUGUCUGUGACACACCAGGGGAAGGUCCCUCAUUUGCAGGCCCCUUUGCAGAGGAAGACAAGUUGAUCCAGAACCGGCUGGAGGCAGGAGGGAGAGCAGACCCUGCCGCCCCAGGGAGCCAGGAGCACCCGAGCCACUCCCGGGCAGUGAUGCCCGGAGCAGUGUGAAGCCUGUCUGGGGCUCCCUGAACCUGACCCUGGCCCCACAGUCAGCACGAGGACACACGUGGCCGUACGUGUGGUCUAGGGUUCGAGCCAUGAAUGCUGAUGGGCCCAGGCCCUGCGGCUGCGUCCUCCAUUGGGCUGAGCUGUGUGGUCAAGCGCUGUGGCAGGGGUCCACUCAUGGGGGGACAGCGAGGAGGCCCGUGCAGCUGGGGGUCCGUGUCGUGGACCAGGCGUGAGCGCAGUGAGGCAGGACCAUCACAGCUUUCCUCUGCGGUUCUGCACAUGCUGGGAUCCGAAUGUGCACGAGCAAAAAUCCAGGUCCUCUCAGACGCCCAGCGGCAGGUCGACCUUCCCGGGGCUCAGAUUCAACGGUGACCGGAUCCCACUUGGGUUUCAGGCUUCUGAGAGGCAGCGCAUCACCUCCAUGAGAAAGGCAGCGUCCUCUUGUGAGAGCAGGAGCCCCCACAGCUAGUUGGCGACCAGGACCAGGACUGGAGAGGAAAGAGGGAGCCGGAGCAGAGCCGGAGCGUCAGCAGACUCUGAGGGUGGCACUCGGAUCCCUUUGACAGGGAAGCGCCCUCUAUUCCUCCAGUUGUCUUGUCAGUGCUGCCUCUGGGGAAGCCCCAAGGAUGGUGCUGAGCGUGAGGUCCCAGCUGGGGGGCCACCGAGGCAGCACCCCGGGUGGCCACCGAGGCAGCGCCCCGCUCUCUGCUGGCCCCUCCCUCCCGUCUUCUGAGCCCUGGACCAGAGCCGCCCCUUCUCUCACUAAGGGCAGGCAGGUUCACAAAGGAGUGAAAAUUACAUUACAACAGACUUGAGUUAACAACAAGGUAUAAGUAUUGGCUCAUCAGUUGUACAAAUGUGGCGCUCCAACAGGAUGCUCAUAACAGGGAAAGUAGGGAGAGCGAGGUAUUUGGGAACUGUCUGCACUUUCCACUAAACUUUUCCAUGAUCUUAAAACUGCUGUAAAACGAAGUCUAUAAGCUAAAAAAAAAUGAAACAAAUGGAAAAACCUUGUAUUCUAAAAGACUGAAAUGAAC
rnacentral:lncRNA from 1 species